rnacentral:rRNA from 1 species
CCUACGGGAGGCAGCAGUGAGGAAUAUUGGUCAAUGGGCGCGAGCCUGAACCAGCCAAGUAGCGUGAAGGAUGACUGCCCUAUGGGUUGUAAACUUCUUUUAUAAAGGAAUAAAGUGAGGCACGUGUGCCUUUUUGUAUGUACUUUAUGAAUAAGGAUCGGCUAACUCCGUGCCAGCAGCCGCGGUAAUACGGAGGAUUCGAGCGUUAUCCGGAUUUAUUGGGUUUAAAGGGAGCGUAGAUGGGUUGUUAAGUUAGUUGUGAAAGUCUGCGGCUCAACCGCAAAAUUGCAAUUGAUACUGGCAGUCUAGAGAACAGUUGCGGUAGGCGGAAUGCGUGGUGUAGCGGUGAAAUGCUUAGAUAUCACGCAGAACUCCGAUUGCGAAGGCAGCUUACUAAGCUGCCACUGACAUUGAUGCACGAAAGUGUGGGUAUCAAACAGGAUUAGAUACCCUAGUAGUC